rnacentral:rRNA from 1 species
CGUAGGUGGCAAGCGUUGUCCGGAUUUACUGGGCGUAAAGAGCACGCAGGCGGUCGUUCAAGUCGCGUGUGAAAGCCCCCGGCUCAACUGGGGAGGGUCACGCGAUACUGAUCGACUCGAAGGCAGGAGAGGGUAGUGGAAUUCCCGGUGUAGUGGUGAAAUGCGUAGAUAUCGGGAGGAACACCAGUGGCGAAGGCGACUACCUGGCCUGUUCUUGACGCUGAGGCGCGAAAGCUAGGGGAGCAAACGGG